AACGAGCGCUGGCGGCAUGCCUAACACAUGCAAGUCGAACGAGACCUUCGGGUCUAGUGGCGCACGGGUGCGUAACGCGUGGGAACCUGCCCUUAGGUUCGGAAUAACUCCCCGAAAGGGGUGCUAAUACCGGAUAACGUCUUCGGACCAAAGAUUUAUCGCCUUUGGAUGGGCCCGCGUUGGAUUAGCUAGUUGGUAGGGUAAAAGCCUACCAAGGCGACGAUCCAUAGCUGGUCUGAGAGGAUGAUCAGCCACACUGGGACUGAGACACGGCCCAGACUCCUACGGGAGGCAGCAGUGGGGAAUAUUGGACAAUGGGCGAAAGCCUGAUCCAGCAAUGCCGCGUGAGUGAUGAAGGCCUUAGGGUUGUAAAGCUCUUUUACCCGGGAUGAUAAUGACAGUACCGGGAGAAUAAGCUCCGGCUAACUCCGUG
rnacentral:rRNA from 1 species